rnacentral:misc_RNA from 1 species
GGAUACAGGUGUGGGAAUACCCCUUGAUGCCCAAAGCCGUAUUUUCACUCCUUUUAUGCAGGCUGACAGUUCCACUUCACGAACCUAUGGUGGGACUGGAAUAGGAUUGAGCAUCAGUAAAUGUCUGGUGGAUCUCAUGGGUGGCGAGAUUGGGUUUGUUAGUGAACCUGGCACUGGCAGUACCUUCUCAUUCACUGCUUCUUUCAGAAAAGGAGAAUUGAGUUCUCUGGAUACAAAGUGGCAACCUUAUGACCCUACUAUUAUGGAGUUCCAAGGAUGGAGAGCAUUGGUAAUUGAUAAAAGAAGAGUCCGAGCAGAGGUCACUAGGUACCAUCUCCAGAGGUUGGGUAUAUCCGUGGAUAUAGCUUCCAGCCUGAAAUCUGCAUGUUCUUAUCUAUUGGGAGGUUGUUACACAAGUGUUCCAGCAGAUUUGGCUGUGGUUCUUAUUGACAAAGAUGUUUGGCAUAAUGAAAUCAGUAUUUCUUUCAAUCAUUUUUUGAAAGAAUCCAAGCGAAAUUGUGGAAAAGAAAUCUUAGGUAACCUUCCAAAGAUUUUUUUCUUGGCUACCACCAUCAGUCCUGAUGAACGCUAUGAACUCUUAUCUGCUGGUUUAGCAGAUAAUGUAAUUAUGAAGCCUCUUCGAUUAAGUGUCUUAAUUGCUUGCUUUCAAGAAGCCAUUGGAAGUGGCAAGAAGAGUCCAGCAAAGAGAAAGAAACCAUCAACUCUUCAGAAUCUACUAAGAGGAAAGAGAAUUUUGGUGGUAGAUGACAAUACAGUGAACAGAAGAGUGGCAGAAGGAGCUCUAAAGAAAUAUGGAGCAAUUGUUACCUGUGUGGAGAGUGGCAAGGAUGCCUUGGAACUGCUAAAACCACCACACACAUUUGACGCUUGUUUUAUGGAUCGCCAUAUGCCAGAAAUGGACGGCUUUGAAGCUACCCGGCAAAUUCGGUCAAGGGAGAGGCAAUUUAAUAAGGAAAUUGCAUCUGGGGAAGCAUCAGCAGAGAUGUUUGGAAAUGUGGCUUAUUGGCACACACCAAUACUGGCAAUGACAGCUGAUGUAAUUCAGGCAACAAAUGAAGAAUGCAUAAAAUGUGGGAUGGAUGAUUACGUGUCAAAGCCAUUCGAAGAAGAGCAGCUUUACAAUGCAGUGGCUCAUUUUUUUUGAGUCUCGUUGACAGAAUGGAUUUAGAUGUCAGCUAUUGCUAAUCUGACUUUCAGCCAGCUGGCUGAUCUGCGCUGAAUUUACCUUGACCCCCAAAGCAUUUGACUAGCAGACUAACGGCGGAUAGAAUGAUCUCCAACACAUUCUUAUCAUCUUUCCAGCUCUGGAUUCUGAGACUUUGAAGGUGACUUAAUUCAAGUAUGGAUGAUCUGGAACUACAAGCAAAUGCUUGUGGCCAAUUUGUUGUCACUGGUUGGUCACAAUAUGAUCAAUCAAAGGAGACAAUAAUCGACAUGGUAGCUUUCUGCUCAGAGCCCUUUUGUCUAUAAUUUGUUCCCACUCAUUUUUAUUUUUUAUAAUUUCUUCAGACUAGGCAGAUGACAAAAUGCUAGCAGUGAUCCUUGUUUGAAUGCUGAUGAGAUUAUCAAUUCAACUUUUGAUCUUCUUCUGACUUGUGCAUGAAAUAUGCACACAAUUUACUGAGGGUGAAAGAAGGAACUAUUUUAGCGCUGCGAAUAGCAAUUGUGACUAUAAUAUUUAUCUUCUGAUCUUCCCUUCCCGAGUAGGAUGGAAAUAUACUAAAAAGUGGGGUGAUAUGCAGAGAAUGCAGCACAACUCCGGAGUGUAAAGGGAGACCCCAUUAAUGGAAACUCAAGGGUAUAAAGACGUGCCAGUAGCAUUUUCUUACUUGAAAGAUAUAACUUGAGAUACAUUCUGAUUUUUACUAUUAUUUAUAAAAGAGAAUGAAAUGCUGUAUGUAACUGGUAGUCAACGUGUAAUGAAGAUCCAGUUUGUUGUAACUAAAAUUUUCUUCGUUGUGCGUAAAUAGUAACAUUAUUUUUUAUUAACAGAAUAAAUAAAAAGUUGAGAGAGGUACUAUUGAUUCUGUAAAAAA